rnacentral:rRNA from 1 species
UACGAAGGGGGCUAGCGUUGCUCGGAAUCACUGGGCGUAAAGCGCACGUAGGCGGAUUGUUAAGUCAGGGGUGAAAUCCUGGAGCUCAACUCCAGAACUGCCUUUGAUACUGGCGAUCUCGAGUCCGGGAGAGGUGAGUGGAACUGCGAGUGUAGAGGUGAAAUUCGUAGAUAUUCGCAAGAACACCAGUGGCGAAGGCGGCUCACUGGCCCGGGUAUGACGCUGAGGUGCGAAAGCGUGGGGAGCAAACAGGG